ensembl:lncRNA
AUUUGAAUAAUAGUAACCCGAUAGGGAUGAGUUGGUUAGACCCUUUUGAAUGUUAAUGGCUAAUGAUUGGAGGUCUCUGAUAGCCCCGCCCAGAGAACAAUGAUGGGAGAGCACGCGGGAAUCACGCAGAAAGGCAGAAGUUAAGUAAACAUGGAAGGAAUGUGGUGGAAGUUUUGGGUGAGCCUACAAAUAAAGGUUUGAACGUGAAGCAUCAACUCAGCGUUCAGCUUGAGAGAAACAGUCUUGGAAACAUGCACCGUCAUCAGAUCAUUACUCCUACACCCCCCAUAUCCAUAGGGGAUAUGAUGCAGUCAUGUACCAUUCACUCUUCAGUCAUUUAGUGGACACUUUUAAAAUAAAGCGACUUCCAGUCACCAAACUAUUUUGGACACGUGUCAUUGAUGAGCCGGUAGGGCUGAGGCCUCUUGCUGAGGGAACAGGUAGACUGUGGUCAUCGUGGUGCCACCAGGUACACUGUGGUCAUCGUGAUGCCACCAGGUAGACUGUGGUCAUCGUGAUGCCACCAGGUAGACUGUGGUCAUCGUGGUGCCACCAGGUAGACUGUGGUCAUCGUGAUGCCAACGGGUAGACUGGUCAUCGUGAUGCCAACGGGUAGACUGUGGUCAUCGUGGUGCCACCAGGUAGACUGUGGUCAUCGUGAUGCCACCAGGUAGACUGUGGUCAUCGUGGUGCCACCAGGUAGACUGUGGUCAUCGUGGUCACAAUCCUGAAUCUGAGCUGCAUGCCUAGGUAAAUGUCACAGGGCCAGAUGUACAGAAUAUAGCUUGUGUGGCUUUAUGAUGACCUACACACCCCUGUUCAGAGGGUUGUGUGGUUAUUUAUAGACCUUCACGGAGUCCUCCACCUUUACUUUACAAUAACUAUCCAACAGUGAGUGUGUGUGUGUGUGUGUGAGUUUUUGCUACCUCUAACCCACCCUCUAGCCCUCUCUCCCUCACUCUCUCUUCCCGUCUCUCGCCCACACUUACCCAUUCUCUUGCCCUUUAACUCACUCCACCCCUCUCUCUCCUCCCCCCCCCCUUUCUGUUGUACCCAAUCCCGCUCGCACAAUUUAACCGACCUCUGCGCACCUCUGAUAAGAAACCUUGACUGCCCUUCUCACUCUCUCUCUCUCGCUCUCUCGCUCUCUCUCGCUCUCUCUCUCUCUCUCUCUGAGGGGAAACCAUGGAUACAUACCAGAAUCACACCAUGCAGUUAAAUCCCCCUCCCCACUGCUGGACCACUCUGCUAACGCUGGUCUGGUAUUUGCCCGGCUCUAACCAAAUGGAAGGUUUCCUGCUCAUAAUUGCAGCUCUAAGCCAAACACAAGACCAAGGGAUUUGGCUUGGCAGCAAGGGAAAGAGAUAGGAAAUGCCAGAAAAGAC